UUUCAUAAAAACAGCUUUUUAAACAAGAUCUAGAAACACAGACACACCCCAACCUCUAGAUCUAUGUAGUGUCUAGUGUCCCAGCCAGGUGAACCUACCUCUAGAUCUAUGUAGUGUCUAGUGUCCCAGCCAGGUGAACCUACCUCUAGAUCUAUGUAGUGUCUAGUGUCCCAGCCAGGUGAACCUACCUCUAGAUCUAUGUAGUGUCCCAGCCAGGUGAACCUACCACUAGAUCUAUGUAGUGUCUAGUGUCCCAGCCAGGUGAACCUACCUCUAGAUCUAUGUAGUGUCCCAGCCAGGUGAACCUACCUCUAGAUCUAUGUAGUGUCCAGUGUCCCAGCCAGGUGAACCUACCUCUAGAUCUAUGUAGUGUCCAGUGUCCCAGCCAGGUGAACCUACCUCUAGAUCUAUGUAGUGUCUAGUGUCCCAGCCAGGUACCUCUAGAUCUAUGUAGUGUCUAGUGUCCCAGCCAGGUGAACCUACCUCUAGAUCUAUGUAGUGUCCAGUGUCCCAGCCAGGUGAACCUACCUCUAGAUCGAUGUAGUGUCUAGUGUCCCAGCCAGGUGAACCUACCUCUAGAUCGAUGUAGUGUCCCAGCCAGGUGAACCUACCUCUAGAUCUAUGUAGUGUCCAGUGUCCCAGCCAGGUGAACCUACCUCUAGAUCUAUGUAGUGUCCCAGCCAGGUGAACCUACCUCUAGAUCUAUGUAGUGUCUAGUGUCCCAGUCAGGUGAACCUACCUCUAGAUCGAUGUAGUGUCCCAGCCAGUUGAACCUACCUCUAGAUCUAUGUAGUGUCUAGUGUCCCAGCCAGGUGAACCUACCUCUAGAUCUAUGUAGUGUCCAGUGUCCCAGCCAGGUGAACCUACCUCUAGAUCGAUGUAGUGUCUAGUGUCCCAGCCAGGUGAACCUACCUCUAGAUCGAUGUAGUGUCCCAGCCAGGUGAACCUACCUCUAGAUCUAUGUAGUG